CAUACUUAGAAUCAUGAUGUGUGUGUUUAUAUAUGUAUGCAUAUAUAAAUGUAUUUACAAGUAUAUACAAGUUCACAUACAUACACACACAUAUAUCUUUUAGGUCUA
rnacentral:miRNA from 1 species